AAUGCAAAUUCUCUGCCAGUAUUUUCUGAUAACAUACUGCAUUAAUCUUGCCAUCAAUAUUCCCCGAGAUUCCCUUCUCCUUUAGAGCUCACACACCCCCAAAACAUCAGUGAGCCACCACCAUGCCUCACAGUGGGGAUGGUAUUCUGAUCACUAUAGGCCUUGUUUACCCCUUUCCAAACAUAGACCUUAUGGUUGUGACCACAAAGCUCUAAUUUGGUCUCGUCACUCGAAAUUACAGUGUGCCAGAGGUUGUGUGGCGUGUCAAGGUGUUGUCAAGCAUAUUGUAACCAGGCUUUUUUGUGGCAUUGGAGUAGCAAAGGCUUCUUCCUUUCGACCUUGCAGCAAAUUUUUGUUCAAGUAUCAUCGUAUUGUGUUCCUUGAAACAACCACACCGUCUUUUUCCAGAGCAGCCUGCAUUUCUCCUGAGGUAACCUGUAGGUUUUUCUUUGUAUCUGUGGGUUUAUCUUUGUAUAUUGAUUGAACAGUACUGACUGGAAUUUACAAGGCUUUUGAUAUCUUUUUAUAUCCUUUUCCAUCUUUAUAAAGUCCCAUUACCUUGGUACUCAGGUCUUAUGACAGUUAUUUUCUGCUCCCCAUGGCUCAGUAUCAAGCCUGCUCACUGUGUCCACAUAAGAGCUAAUAAACAAUUGACUAUUUAUACACAGAUAAUAAUUGCAAUUAAAAAAACACAGGUGUGGGAAAUUAACCUUUAAUUGCCAAUUGCACCUCUGUGUCACCUUGUGUGUCUGUAACAAGGCCCAACGUAGAGAGCAUUUAGUAAUUGUUAUUAUUUAUGGAAAACAUUCUUAAUAAUAAAUAAAUAUAAUAACAUUUCAGGAACAAGAAUUUUCAGGUGAAAGUAAGUAUGGAGGAAAGAGAAUAAUUGAGAAGAAUAAUUGAGAAAAUAAUAAUAAAAAGUUAUGUUGAUAUUUGGCAAGAAUAAUACAAAAUUCACCCCAAGGCAAAACGUAUGGAUUUGUAGAAUCAGCAUAUUCUUCUUUUUUUUCACUUCUGCACUUCAUACUGAGACCCAGAUACAGGAAACUUCUAACCUCGAACCGACCCCUCCCAGACAGUAACACAGCAGACAGACUUUGCUUCUUCUGCAAAUAUUGUUACUUGUAGUUAUGAAUUGGGGAACAAACAUAUUUUCUGCAAGGUUGAGGUAAUUCAUGCCACAGGUUUAUUACAGAUAAGAUGGUUUAGUAUGUUGCCUCUUCCUCUUGUCUCUUGCCUCUUGUAUGGAGGAAUGGGUCAAAAUCCCUGCUGCAGUGUGUGCAAACCUGG
ensembl:lncRNA